rnacentral:snRNA from 1 species
AUAAUUGUCUGGCAGCGGUGAUUUUUUGUUCAUAAAGAUGGUUACCCCUGGCCAAGACUUAUCCAUUGCACUCCAGAUGGGCUGACCUCUAUGAUUACCCCAAAUGUGGGAAAUUACUGUAUAAUUUGCAGUAGCUGGGGCUUUACUUCAUGCUUUCCAC